CUCACCUUACAUAGACUCAUUGUAUAUCAGUUUCAUGGGUUGAUUUUUCAGCUUCAAAAAUGUAUUUAAAGUUUAGAGUUUAUACUUGUGUAUUGGUCAGUCUUGGCUCACUUUCUCUCAUUUAUUUUUUAAAUACCUACUUGCCUAAGAAAAAGUCAAGAGAAGUCAUUAAAGUAUUCCUUAACAUUUUUUUUGAAAUAACGAGAACUUUACUUCUUUUAGGUAUAAAUCUCUCAGAUUCAGUUUGCAGCCUUUUGCCCGUUCAAGUUAGAACAUUUCAUCUUUAUGAGCACUUAAAACAUCAUUCACUGUUUCCUAAGGCUUACAGAUCACAAGUCCUCAACAGAGUGAAACCUCACACAUAAUAUUUGAUACAGACAUCAACAUCAGUGGCAACAACACAGCAAACCCAACAAGUGUUAAACUUUUCACUAAGUUCCAAUCUUUAUGUAAGUGCUUUAUAGGAAUUCUCCUUACUUUUCACUACAGUUAUGCAAAGUGAUUUCUGUUGCACCUGUGACUCAGAAAGGGAAUGAAUUGUGAGUUUACCUAGAUCAUACUACUGUACUCCAAGGAGUACAAAAAGGAAGUCUGACUCCAGAGUCAUUGUUCCUUUUAAAUCACAGUUAAACUUAUCCUUUCUUUCAGUCUUUAUCCCCAAAGCUAGUGGUUCUAAGAAUAGUAUGAUUCAUUAUUUCUCUUAAUUUUGUGGAUUGACUGGUGGUAGAGACUGAAUGUUCAUAUUUCCCCCAAAUUUAUAUGUUGAAACCUAAUCCUAAUGUAAUGAUAUUAGGAAGUUGGGAUUUGGGGAGGUGUGUUUAGAUCAUGAGGAUGGAGUCCUCAUGAAUGGAAUUAGUGCCCUUAUAAAAGAGCCUCUGAAGAGUUCCCUCUCCCUUCGACCAUGUAAGGACACAAGAUGAGUUUGACCUCUGUGAACCUGGAAGCAGGUUUUCACCACACCUUGAAUUUGCCUUGUGCCUUGAUCUCAGACUUACUGGCUUGUAGUAACUGUGAGGAAGAAAUUCUGUUGUUUGUAAGUCACCUGGUCUAUGGUAUUCUGCUAUAGCAGCCUGAACAUAAUAGGACAGCAGACUCAGUUGGGCAGAUCUUCUGCUUCACGUUGCGCCUGUCUUCUGCUUCAUGUUGUGCUGUUUGGGAAUGUAGUCACCUAGAGGUUCAACUACACUGGAACAACUAAGAUGGCUUUUCAACAUGGCUGGUAGGUUUGCUGGUUGUUGGCUGGACACUUAGCUCAUCACUUUGAUUGACCUCCACAUUGUCUUUCUGCCUGUCUUGAAAUUCUCUCUGUAAGGAGACCUUGUAAACAUGUAAAAGCAAGAGCUACAGAUUUCUUGUGGUCCAGCCGUGUAAGUUACAUGGUUAUUUCUCUGUGUUCUAGAGGUCAAGAAAAGUUGUGAGUCCAGCCCAAAAUCAAGGGGAAAAGAAAAAGAUCCUUCUUUUUUGGAAGAUGUGUCCAUAAACAUGUGGCCAUUUUAAUCUACCAUGCUAUUAAUUUAUUGUACCCUAGGUCAUGUCAAUUUCAAUCAAAAUUAACUUAGUAUUUAUAUUUUAAUGUAAUGAAGUUAAA
rnacentral:lncRNA from 9 species